rnacentral:rRNA from 1 species
UACGUAGGGUGCAAGCGUUAAUCGGAAUUACUGGGCGUAAAGCGUGCGCAGGCGGUUUUGUAAGUCUGUCGUGAAAUCCCCGAGCUUAACUUGGGAAUUGCGAUGGAGACUGCAAGGCUGGAGUCUGGCAGAGGGGGGUAGAAUUCCACGUGUAGCAGUGAAAUGCGUAGAGAUGUGGAGGAACACCGAUGGCGAAGGCAGCCCCCUGGGUCAAGACUGACGCUCAUGCACGAAAGCGUGGGGAGCAAACAGG